AAUCCCUGGUACGGGCAUUUCUAAAUUAGUGUUUUGAACCAUUCCUAUGCCUCAUGAAAACUUUCUCCUUCCAUCUCUCUAAAGAUAGCAAUCUCUCUUCUUAGUUG
rfam:Gossypium hirsutum cultivar TM-1 chromosome 4, whole genome shotgun sequence